GACGAACGCUGGCGGCGUGCUUAACACAUGCAAGUCGAACGGAAAGGCCCUGCUUUUGUGGGGUGCUCGAGUGGCGAACGGGUGAGUAACACGUGAGUAACCUGCCCUUGACUUUGGUAUAACUUCAGGAAACUGGGGCUAAUACCGGCUAGGAGCUCCUGCUGCAUGGUGGGGGUUGGAAAGUUUCGGCGGUUGGGGAUGGACUCGCGGCUUAUCAGCUUGUUGGUGGGGUAGUGGCUUACCAAGGCUUUGACGGGUAGCCGGCCUGAGAGGGUGACCGGCCACAUUGGGACUGAGAUACGGCCCAGACUCCUACGGGAGGCAGCAGUGGGGAAUAUUGCACAAUGGGCGGAAGCCUGAUGCAGCAACGCCGCGUGCGGGAUGACGGCCUUCGGGUUGUAAACCGCUUUCGCCUGUGACGAAGCGUGAGUGACGGUAAUGGGUAAAGAAGCACCGGCUAACUACGUG
rnacentral:rRNA from 1 species